CCCUGGUUAUCUCAGUUGGUAGAGUGCUCCAGCUGUAAUGGAGAGGUCCCGGGUUCGAUACCCGGACCAGGCG
rfam:Ixodes scapularis strain Wikel colony gcontig_1108378292418, whole genome shotgun sequence.